CCGCCUACCGCCCUGGGAUUUACGCAUGCGCUUCAGGGAGCCAACGCCCCCGACCGGAUCGCUAUGGCGCAGCGCACGCGCCGCAGGCUGCCGCUCACCUGCGCUGGGCCCGCCCCGAGCGACGCAAGCCCCCUCCAUUUCCGGCUCACCGCUGCAGCGCAUGCGCUCUGGACCAGAUCUUCCCGUCGUGCCCCGGGCGCUAUAAAUUCUCGUUGCCCCGCCUUCUUCGCUCUUUUCCCUCGGAGCGAGGUGGGUGGGGUAGUGGUGCGCGCGCGUGAGCCGCGUGCCUUGCAGGAGGGAGAGAAGGGGAUGGCGGCCCAGCGGGCUUCGCAGGCGGCGCGCUCCUGGCCCACGAGCAGCUUGGCAAGCAGCGCAUGCCUGCCCACAAGCUUGGCAAGCAGCGCAUGCCUGCCCACAAGCUUCAGAUGCUAUGUUGCAUCAGUUGAAAAGGUGAGUGUAGUGUGUACUGUCCAUUACUUGUUCAUAGAUAUGUAGAUUUUUUGUAGUUUUCAGCUAUCAAGAGCUGUAUGGAAUCAGAUGUAAAAUAUCUUAGUUCAGCAUAGAAGUUUAAUUUCUCUGGAUAGCUACAGUGACAUGACUCUGUUUAGCCAACAGAAGGUUAGCCUUCAAGACUUGUAGCUUCUAAGGCAUUUGGGAUAGACUGGACCUGAACUUGUGUAACCAUGGUGUGGUCCUCAAAUGUAGAUUAUAACUUGCUAUGAGGAAAUUGAAACUAGAAGAAACUAGCCUUGCUGAAAAGCAUGAGAAUCUGGGGCUUGCAUAAAUCACUACUGCGCGGCUUUGAUUGCACACUAGAAUAUAUAUGCUCAGUUUGUUCCCAUGCUGUUUAAAUUAAUUGAGGAUGGAUUAAGGUGACCUAAAAAUAAUCUCUCAUUUU
rnacentral:lncRNA from 1 species